rnacentral:rRNA from 1 species
GGGCAAGCGUUGUCCGGAAUCAUUGGGCGUAAAGCGCGUGUAGGCGGCUUGGUAAGUGGAUGGUGAAAUCCCUCGGCUUAACCGAGGAACUGCCGUCCAAACUGCUUCGCUUGAGACCGGGAGAGGUGAGUGGAAUUCCCAGUGUAGCGGUGAAAUGCGUAGAUAUUGGGAGGAACACCAGUGGCGAAGGCGGCUCACUGGACCGGUACUGACGCUGAGGCGCGAAAGCGUGGGGAGCAAACAGG